rnacentral:lncRNA from 1 species
CCAGACAGAAGCAAAGCUUCUGUCUCUCAGAUGGAGUCCUGGGCCUUGAUGCCUCAGCCGGCCCCCCAGAGGUUCCACUCCCCACAGGCUAGAGCGUAUAUAACCCGGUAAAGCGAAUGCUCAACCCAGCAUUCGACUCAUCUACAAAGAAAACCUUUUUUUUUCCCAUCUUUAUGUCUAACUUGAUAUAAAUGAAUGUCUUCCUUAGGAAAACAUCUGCGUUCUGUCUUUUUACAGCAAGUCCCUGGAGUUUUCUGGGUACUCUUGUAACUGGAUUUUGGGAAAGGAGGGUAACCAUUCAAUAGAAAAAGGGACUUGCGGUUCCACAGACUUACACACGUGGUGAAGAUGCCCGAGGCCCGUGGGAAGGCACUGGUUCUCUUAGGUUAG